AGAGUUUGAUCAUGGCUCAGAUUGAACGCUGGCGGCAGGCCUAACACAUGCAAGUCGAACGGUAACAGGAAGCAGCUUGCUGCUUUGCUGACGAGUGGCGGACGGGUGAGUAAUGUCUGGGAAACUGCCUGAUGGAGGGGGAUAACUACUGGAAACGGUAGCUAAUACCGCAUAACGUCGCAAGACCAAAGAGGGGGACCUUAGGGCCUCUUGCCAUCGGAUGUGCCCAGAUGGGAUUAGCUAGUAGGUGGGGUAACGGCUCACCUAGGCGACGAUCCCUAGCUGGUCUGAGAGGAUGACCAGCCACACUGGAACUGAGACACGGUCCAGACUCCUACGGGAGGCAGCAGUGGGGAAUAUUGCACAAUGGGCGCAAGCCUGAUGCAGCCAUGCCGCGUGUAUGAAGAAGGCCUUCGGGUUGUAAAGUACUUUCAGCGGGGAGGAAGGGAGUAAAGUUAAUACCUUUGCUCAUUGACGUUACCCGCAGAAGAAGCACCGGCUAACUCCGUGCCAGCAGCCGCGGUAAUACGGAGGGUGCAAGCGUUAAUCGGAAUUACUGGGCGUAAAGCGCACGCAGGCGGUUUGUUAAGUCAGAUGUGAAAUCCCCGGGCUCAACCUGGGAACUGCAUCUGAUACUGGCAAGCUUGAGUCUCGUAGAGGGGGGUAGAACUCCAGGUGUAGCGGUUGAAAUGCG
rnacentral:rRNA from 1 species